ACAAUGCGCGUCCUACACAUGCAAGUCGAGCGGACCCGUUCCUUCUCCUCGGAGAGGGGGCGGGUUAGCGGCGAACGGGUGAGUAACACGUGGGUAACCUACCCCGAAGACUGGGAUAACCCCGGGAAACCGGGGCUAAUACCGGAUACCUUCCCUUCACCGCAUGGUGGAGGGAAGAAAGGUUGGCUUCGGCCUUCCGCUUCGGGAUGGGCCCGCGGCCCAUUAGCUAGUUGGUGGGGUAACGGCCCACCAAGGCGACGAUGGGUAGCCGGCCUGAGAGGGUGUCCGGCCACACUGGGACUGAGACACGGCCCAGACUCCUACGGGAGGCAGCAGUGAGGAAUAUUGCGCAAUGGGCGAAAGCCUGACGCAGCGACGCCGCGUGGACGACGAAGGCCUUCGGGUUGUAAAGUCCUGUCAGGAGGGACGAAGCGGCCUCGUGCCGUGACGGUACCUCGGUAGGAAGCCCCGGCUAACUACGUGCCAGCAGCCGCGGUAAGACGUAGGGGGCGAGCGUUGUCCGGAAUUACUGGGCGUAAAGAGCUCGUAGGCGGCCUGUUAAGUCGGGUGUGAAAGCCCUCGGCUCAACCGAGGAAUUGCACUCGAUACUGGCAGGCUAGAGUCUGGUAGAGGGAGGUGGAAUUCCCGGUGUAGCGGUGAAAUGCGCAGAUAUCGGGAGGAACACCGGUGGCGAA
rnacentral:rRNA from 1 species